CUAGAAUAUAUUAAAUGCUAAUGGAUUUAUAUUUAAUUACAAUCUUUUGAACCGAAAUGAAAUAAAUGCCAAGUUAAACACAAGGAACAAACAAGUAAAAAUCUUUCAAUCUUUGGGGGAAGAAAAAAAGAAGGGGAUCAGUUGGUUGGCUAAGAAAUAAAGUAACUUUUUUCCAAGCAACCAACAAUCUGUUCGCUGGCCGCACCAAUCACCCCUCCCCGCCUCUCCAUCUCUCAUGUAGGGGUCCAACGAUCCUU
rnacentral:misc_RNA from 1 species